GCCAAACACUGAUCUCUCGCCAAAAUAUUUUCCAUGAAGAAUAUUUUUCCCAAAGAAAACACACCUAACAGAACAAAUAGAUAAAUGCACUAAAACUGCUACCACCUCCGCUCCAAUUUAAAUGUCUUAAUUUACCCUAAUACGGAGUUCAAGAAAUAAACGAAACUCUUUAAUUUUACAGUCUUAAAUUAAAAAUAUGUAUAAAGUUCCCUAACAUGUGUCUUGAAUCAUCCAAAUAGGAUGCCGGAACGGAAAAACUUACUAUCAUGACACAUGGAUAUUCAAAUUUUACGAUAAAACAUGAUCAAACGCCUACUAAAAUAAUGGAUCAAAUAAGACAUUUAAAUUGAGACGGAGCUAGAGGAAAAAUUAAAUAAGCGAUAUCUAAUAUAGGUACCUUCAUUUCUGGUAUCCACCACCAAUAGCAUUAUAAUCUUCC
rnacentral:lncRNA from 1 species